GGCGGCGUGCCUAAUACAUGCAAGUCGAGCGGACAGAUGGGAGCUUGCUCCCUGAAGUCAGCGGCGGACGGGUGAGUAACACGUGGGCAACCUGCCUGUAAGACUGGGAUAACUCCGGGAAACCGGGGCUAAUACCGGAUAAUUCUUUCCCUCACAUGAGGGAAAGCUGAAAGAUGGUUUCGGCUAUCACUUACAGAUGGGCCCGCGGCGCAUUAGCUAGUUGGUGAGGUAACGGCUCACCAAGGCAACGAUGCGUAGCCGACCUGAGAGGGUGAUCGGCCACACUGGGACUGAAACACGGCCCAAACUCCUACGGGAGGCAGCAGUAGGGAAUCUUCCGCAAUGGACGAAAGUCUGACGGAGCAACGCCGCGUGAGUGAUGAAGGUUUUCGGAUCGUAAAACUCUGUUGUUAGGGAAGAACAAGUACCGGAGUAACUGCCGGUACCUUGACGGUACCUAACCAGAAAGCCACGGCUAACUACGUGCCAGCAGCCGCGGUAAUACGUAGGUGGCAAGCGUUGUCCGGAAUUAUUGGGCGUAAAGCGCGCGCAGGCGGUUCCUUAAGUCUGAUGUGAAAGCCCCCGGCUCAACCGGGGAGGGUCAUUGGAAACUGGGGAACUUGAGUGCAGAAAAGAAGAGUGGAAUUCCACGUGUAGCGGUGAAAUGCGUAGAGAUGUGGAGGAACACCAGUGGCGAAGGCGACUCUUUGGUCUGUAACUGACGCUGAGGCGCGAAAGCGUGGGGAGCAAACAGGAUUAGAUACCCUGGUAGUCCACGCCGUAAACGAUGAGUGCUAAGUGUUAGAGGGUUUCCGCCCUUUAGUGCUGCAGCAAACGCAUUAAGCACUCCGCCUGGGGAGUACGGCCGCAAGG
rnacentral:rRNA from 2 species